UACGUAGGGACCGAGCGUUGUCCGGAAUCAUUGGGCGUAAAGAGCGUGUAGGCGGCCUUUUAAGUCCUGCGUGAAAUCCUGCGGCUCAACCGCAGACGGUCGUGGGAAACUGGAAGGCUAGAGUGCGGGAGAGGAGAGUGGAAUUCCCGGUGUAGCGGUGAAAUGCGCAGAUAUCGGGAAGAACACCGAUGGCGAAGGCAGGUCUCUGGGCCACUACUGACGCUGAGAAGCGAAAGCAUGGGGAGCGAACAGG
rnacentral:rRNA from 1 species